rnacentral:lncRNA from 1 species
CCUUUAAUUUUCUUAUGAAUUUACUGCGCUAGAGACGUUCAUUCCUUAAAACGCAUUGACUGGGGUCGCGCUUGGCUCAGGGCGCUGUCCCAGGCUCCUUGUCGCCCAAGUAUCCCAAAGCUCCCAUCCCUGCCCGCGCGGCCGGGUCAGUGAGCCCGCGCUGUUUGGAGGACGCCCAAAGAUUGCUGCAAGCGAGGAAGGCAUUCGGGCUCCCGACUGGAGUUCCAGGUCCUGGAAGAACGACUGAGAGUUGAAAGGUUACGCUCCAGGCCGGGGCUCCAUCGCGCGUUUGCAACCAUCAGACAGAGGGCCCAGACAGGAUCUUCCUAAGACGGACUGCCUCAGCCCCCAUAACUAAGCUGUGAAAACACUCUCAGUUUUAGGAGCAGAAUGGAAGUCACUCCAUCAGAAUAAAGCGUUUGUGGAGCUACGCUGGCGAUUCCUAAAACCCUGAAAAUCCUCUCUCAGGACGGCGAAUUGAGGUUGUUCUCUCCGUGCACAUUUGCGCAGUAGAAAUGGAUGGCUGGUUCGCUGAUCUGUCCGCAGCAGCAAAAAAAAAAAUCUUUAACAAGGGAACUUGAAAGGUCACCUCUGGGAGUGAGAACGUGGACUGAGUCCUCUCUGCCCUCAUCUUCUGCCCCUGGAGAGUCCCCCUGGAAUCUGGCCAUGCUCCUCUCCUAG